rnacentral:rRNA from 1 species
AUUGAACGCUGGCGGCAUGCUUUACACAUGCAAGUCGAACGGCAGCGCGGGCUUCGGCCUGGCGGCGAGUGGCGAACGGGUGAGCAAUGCAUCGGAACGUGCCCAGUAGUGGGGGAUAGCCCGGCGAAAGCCGGAUUAAUACCGCAUACGACCUGAGGGUGAAAGCGGGGGACCGAAAGGCCUCGCGCUAUUGGAGCGGCCGAUGUCGGAUUAGCUAGUUGGUGGGGUAAAGGCUUACCAAGGCGACGAUCCGUAGCUGGUCUGAGAAGACGACCAGCCACACUGGGACUGAGACACGGCCCAGACUCCUACGGGGGGCAGCAGUGGGGAAUUUUGGACAAAGGGGGCAACCCUGAUCCAGCCAUGCCGCGUGCGGGAAGAAGGCCUUCGGGUUGUAAACCGCUUUUGUUCGGGAAGAAAUCCUCUGGGCUAAUACCCCGGGGGGAUGACGGUACCGGAAGAAUAAGCACCGGCUAACUACGUG